CCCUUAGAUGUUCUGGGCAGCACGCGCGCUACAAUGGUCUUCGCAAACGGAUGCAUUCUCGAAGGAGAAUGCCAAUCUUGGAAUCUAUGCCUUGGUCGGGACAGUUGCUUGCAAUUUUUCGACUCGAACCAGGAAUUCCUUGUAAUCGUGAUUCAUCACAUCACGAUGAAUACGUCCCUGCCCUUUGUACACACCGCCCGUCGCACCUACCGAUUGAAUGGUCCGGUGAAAUCUUGGGAUUUUGUUUUGUUUGCAUUUAUUUGUAUCGAGACGAGAGAACUUGAGUAAACCUUACCAUUUAGAGGAAGGUGAAGUCGUAACA
rnacentral:rRNA from 1 species